UCUGUCAGUCGCCUCAGUCUGUCUAUGUGUGUGCGUUAGUUAGUCAGUUGUGCCUAUGCGCGUGUGUGUGCGAGUGUCUCGCUUCAUUUUGCCUUUGGUGUCAGUUGAAGAGAAAGAAAACGAAUAGCUCGUCGCAGCUGAGCAGAACGGAGCGGAGUAAACGGAAUAAAGUGUGCUUCAAGUCAAGUUCUAUGUGUUUGCCGGCAUUUUAAUGACGUCACGUCAAGCAGCGCAGUAACAGCCAUCAAGCAAAAGCAACAACAACUGCAAAGUCAGCAAAACCAGAAAGCAAGAAAAAUAAUAUCAAGUAAAAAGCCCGAAAUAAAAAUAAAAAAAAAAACGCGUUUCUUCUGCUGUCGCUCGCUCUCUACUGCCUCCCCCCGCACUAUCGCUGACCCGCUCUAAACCACACUCAGCUGCUCCGUGCGCGUGUGACUGUGUGUAAGUGUGUGCAAAAGUUACAAAUUCUAACAGCAAAUCAAACGAAAUUCGCAACAACAACAGCAACAACAGCGGAGAGAAUCGAAUCAAAUUGAAGCGCAACGCAUCGCUCGCAUCGCAUCGCAUCGCAUCAUCAGCUGCUUCUCAAGAUAAUGUAAAAUCAGCGUAUGCUCAAUAAAGAAAAGCUUAAAUACACACAAAAAUAAGAACAACAAAUUAAAUAUUAAAACAAAAACUGCUAAACUUACAAACAAUAUUCAAGUUAAAGCGUAUUUAUAUAUAAACGUUUGUUCGAAUCAAAAUUAAACUACAUAUAUACAACUCUUAGCCACGAUAGGCUUCAAGUACCCCAAGCUAUUAGCUAUUCCCAAGCUUUGUAAACAAUUAAAAAAAAAAAGAAAACAAUAUACAAAACAAGAACUCAUGCAAAGCGCUAAACAUCUAUGCUAAAUAUAUAUAUGUAUACCUUAUAUAUAUAGGUGCUGAUCUGUGCUAAGAGCUGUUUAUCAUAAAAGAAACAAAAAGUAACCCGAAACAAAACUUGUUGAAGCCAACGUCAUAAAGUAAAACGCGCAACAUUUCUAGUCGCCAGCUAAGCUAUCUAUAAAGUCCCCCAGCUAAAACAAAACUAUAGCUAUAAAUAUAUAUAUAUAUUCAUAUAUACAUAUACAAAAUACUGAAGAAUUGCUGCUGCGAUGGCCAACGUUGUUAAUAUGAACAGCCUGCUGAAUGGCAAGGACUCGCGCUGGCUGCAGCUGGAGGUCUGCCGCGAAUUUCAGCGCAACAAAUGUUCGCGCCAGGACACCGAAUGCAAGUUCGCCCAUCCGCCGGCCAAUGUUGAGGUGCAGAACGGCAAGGUUACCGCUUGCUAUGACAGUAUCAAGGCGACGCACCUCUUAGAGAUGGAUAACUACAAGGGUCGUUGUAAUCGUGACAAACCGCCGUGCAAAUACUUUCAUCCACCACAGCAUCUGAAGGAUCAGCUGUUGAUAAACGGACGCAAUCAUCUGGCACUCAAGAAUGCACUAAUGCAACAAAUGGGCAUGGCGCCCGGCCAGCAGGUCAUAUCGGGCCAAGUGCCAGCCGUGGCCGCAAAUCCCUACUUGACUGGCAUACCAGCCAAUACAUACAGUCCUUACUAUGCAACCGGACACUUAGUGCCUACUUUGCUGGGACCCGAUCCGACGGCCGUCGCCUCACAGCUGGGCCCGGUGGUGCCACAGACCGUGCAAGUGGCCCAACAGAAAAUUCCACGCUCCGACAGAUUAGAGGUCUGUCGCGAAUUCUUGCGCGGCGCCUGCAAACGGGCCGAGUCGGAAUGCCGGUUCGCGCAUCCGCAGGAGAGCGUCGCGCGGCACGACGAUGGUUCCAUAACGGUUUGCAUGGACGCCGUGAAGGGCAGAUGCGCACGUGACCCCUGCCGCUACUUUCAUCCCCCCCUGCACCUACAGGCACAAUUAAAAGCGGCCCAAACACGCGCCACCGCUGUCGCUGCUGCAGCUGCGAGCUCACCUCUUACGGCACACCAACAACUAAAUCAGCAUCAGCAGCAACUGCAGAACCACCUCCACAACAGCAACAAUAGCAACAGCAACAACAACAACAGCAACAACACCAUCCACACGGCCGGCGGCAUCACUGCUGGCGCAACAACAACAACACCAACAGCAACAACAACAACAAACAACGCUGCCGCUGCCGCUGCUGCUGCCGCCGCCGCCGCUGCCGCCGCUGUUAUGGGUCAUCACACACUGGAAGUGGGCAAGAAGCGGUCAGCGGAUCCUGAAAUGUUUCCACUGAUGGAUGUUAAAACGGUUGGUUCAUUUUACUAUGAAAACUUCCAAUUCUCUGGCAUGGUACCGUUUAAACGUCCAGCUGCCGAAAAGUCUGGCAUUCCAGUGUAUCAACCCGGUGCGACAACCUAUCAACAAUUAAUGCAGCCCUACGUGCCAGUGUCAUUGCCGCCUAUUAGGAUAUGUAACUGUUACUGCAUAAUUCAGCCCACUAGAACUUAAGCAAACAAUCAAAAUGAAUAAUCUCUUUUUCUGUAUAAUGCAUAUGUCGUUAACACAUACAUAUAUAGAAAUCUAUAUAUCUAUCGUAACUAAGGCGCGUUCUAAACCUUAUCAAAAAUUACUGGACACCCUCCCGGUGUGCCAAGAUUUUAAUAGAUCUAUGUGCAGUCG
rnacentral:misc_RNA from 1 species